rnacentral:rRNA from 1 species
UAGGGAAUCUUCGGCAAUGGGGGGAACCCUGACCGAGCAACGCCGCGUGAGUGAAGAAGGUUUUCGGAUCGUAAAGCUCUGUUGUUAAGGAAGAACGAGUGUGAGAAUGGAAAGUUCAUACUGUGACGGUACUUAACCAGAAAGGGACGGCUAACUACGUGCCAGCAGCCGCGGUAAUACGUAGGUCCCGAGCGUUGUCCGGAUUUAUUGGGCGUAAAGCGAGCGCAGGCGGUUAGAUAAGUCUGAAGUUAAAGGCAGUAGCUCAACCAUUGUAGGCUUUGGAAACUGUUUAACUUGAGUGCAGAAGGGGAGAGUGGAAUUCCAUGUGUAGCGGUGAAAUGCGUAGAUAUAUGGAGGAACACCGGUGGCGAAAGCGGCUCUCUGGUCUGUAACUGACGCUGAGGCUCGAAAGCGUGGGGAGCGAACAGG